rnacentral:tRNA from 4 species
GACUUUAGAAAUCGUGAGGGUUCAAGUCCCUCUAUCCCCAAAA